GCAGCCUACAAUGCAAGUCGAGCGCGAAAGGCUUUCGGGCUGAGUAGAGCGGCGGACGGGUGAGUGACGCGUAGGAAUCUACCUGGUAGUGGGGGGCAACUUGGGGAAACUCAAGCUAAUACCGCAUACGCCCUAUGGGGGAAAGCGGGGGACCUUCGGGCCUCGCGCUAUCAGAUGAGCCUGCGUAGGAUUAGCUAGUUGGUGAGGUAAAGGCUCACCAAGGCGACGAUCCUUAGCUGGUCUGAGAGGAUGAUCAGCCACACUGGGACUGAGACACGGCCCAGACUCCUACGGGAGGCAGCAGUGGGGAAUAUUGCGCAAUGGGGGCAACCCUGACGCAGCCAUGCCGCGUGUGUGAAGAAGGCCUUCGGGUUGUAAAGCACUUUAAGUGGGGAAGAAAAGCUGUUGCCUAAUAAGCUGCAGCCCUGACAUUACCCACAGAAUAAGCACCGGCUAACUCCGUGCCAGCAGCCGCGGUAAUACGGAGGGUGCGAGCGUUAAUCGGAAUUACUGGGCGUAAAGCGCGCGUAGGCGGUUUGUUAAAUCCAGCUGUGAAAGCCCCCGGGCUCAACCUGAGAAACUGCAGUUGAUACUG
rnacentral:rRNA from 1 species